CGGGACCCGAAAGAUGGUGAACUA
rnacentral:ncRNA from 3 species